UUACGAGGAAGACAUUGAUGGAAUUGAGUGUGUCCUGUUUUUUUUGUCUGAGGUUCUGGCGGUACCAACGGAGAAGUGGAGCGGAGAGUUGAAAUGGAAUCGAUUAAUUCAUUGAAACGCCUCCUCCAUCGCUCACUUUGACGCACAUCGGGACGAGGCGAGAGGCUGCGAACCUUCAGAUCAGACGCGCUUGGGAACAGGCACGAACGUCACUGCGAACGCCAACAUGCUCAGUGGGAGGAGCAGAGCUGCUGUGAAAUGUGCUCAAGGCAGAGUGGGCCGGAGAAUGGGAGGAGGACGGACGUGUCGACCACCCCGCGGCCUCUUCAAAUCGCCUCUCUUGAACAGUGACUAAUGUUAAUGACGACGUGUGUGUAAGACGCGGAAACUCGGAUGUGGGCAUCACUAGCAAGCUCAGCAUUUGUACCAGUUUCCAAUUGUCCUUGAGCUGGACAGCUUGCUAGGCCACUUCAGAGGGCAGUUAAGAGUCAAUCACACUGUGGACCGGGAGUCACAUGCAGGUCAGACCAGGACCUGGGAAUUACAGACAAUUGUUGCCUGUCCCCAGUCGACCUGGAACUGAACGGACAGUUCAGAGACAUCCACAUGUUGAUUUUAAAUCAUGAUAGCUUCUCUUCGCGAAAGGACAGCAGUAGUGGACCCUAACGGAUUCUGGUGAUGUAUGAUAAUAGCUGUCGACAUUACAUACUAGAUUUGUUAACAAUCUGCCAUUGCUGAUUUAAACUCAUGUCCAUGAAAGUAUUAGCCUAGGGUCAAUCUGUGGAUUAUUAGCCCAGGGUCAUUAUCACUCGCCAGGUAAGUACAACAAGAAAAAAAUGUUCUAGGCAUUUUACUAGGAUUAAUACCUUAUCACAUCUCAAAUGGUUUUUUAAAACUGGUU